GAUGGUUCAGCUGAAAGAGCAUGGUACUGAUAUGGAGAGAUACUAGGAAAAGGCAAUGUUAAUACAGUGCGUUAUCUGCAAAGGCAAUGUACAAAGGGAAGAAGCAGAAGAGAUUGCAUAUGUGUAUGAUGAGAGUCAAGAUGCUCAUCAUAAUGGCUUCCCAGUUGUCCUCCAGGUGCUUGAGUUUUGUCCAAGGGACACCAGCCAGCCUAAACUGUUGUCCUUCUGCUUUAGAACUGAAGUUUUAAGAGCAUGCGAUCAAACAUUUGAGAAUAUUCCUAGAGACUGAAUCUCUUUCAUGGCAGGUGCAUGAGAGGCAGACUUGUUAUACAAUCUUAAAAUCCUUUUGGUGGAAAGUUCCUUUGGAGGAUGUGUGGUGCAGCUUCCUGCUCAGAGCAAGGCUGCUGAGGUUACGUCAGACAUCUCGGGGCAUCCUUGUGGCUUUUCAGCAUCUCCACAGCUGAAGGCUGCACAGCCUACCUCUGCAACUUGUUCCACUCUGACCACGCUCAGUAUGGUAAAACUUUUCUUUGUAUAUACAUCAUAUUUCCUGGACAAUAGCUUUUGUUUCUUCUAGUCCUUUCUCUGAGCUGCUUGAAGGUAGAGUCUGACUCACUCUUCUCUGUAACUGCCCUCUAGGUAGUCAAAGACAGAAAUAGAUUGACAGCUGUCCUCUUCUUCGUGCUGGACAGCCCUGCUUGCCUCAGCCUCCCAU
rnacentral:lncRNA from 1 species